rnacentral:rRNA from 1 species
UACGUAGGGUGCAAGCGUUGUCCGGAAUUAUUGGGCGUAAAGAGCUCGUAGGCGGUUCGUCGCGUCGGCUGUGAAAACCCGGGGCUCAACUCCGGGCCUGCAGUCGAUACGGGCGGACUUGAGUGUUGCAGGGGAGACUGGAAUUCCUGGUGUAGCGGUGAAAUGCGCAGAUAUCAGGAGGAACACCGGUGGCGAAGGCGGGUCUCUGGGACGGUACUGACGCUGAGACGCGAAAGCGUGGGGAGCGAACAGG